rnacentral:lncRNA from 1 species
ACGAGCACAAGGGGAUGCGGGUUAACACCUCCGUCUCAGAGCCAGCAGCAGAAGACAAAAUCCGUAUGUCUGCCCCCAGUUCGGUAUUCAAUUCUUUUGCUGACAGCAUAAACAACAAUGCCUCAUCUAAACAUAAUACAGAUAGUACCUGGCAAUGUGGAUCUUCAAAUAAUCCUGUCAAGGAACAUUUUCCCAAUACUUGUGGAGUAAUGUUGGGAAACGGUUCAUUCUGCAGAAGGCAACCCAUUCAGGGAAACAAAAAAUGCUGGCAGCAUAAAGGCCAGAGGGUUGAAUGUAACUUGUCUGGGGUAGACAGUUCAGAGCCAGCAGCAGAAGAAAAAAUCCCUAUGUUUGCCCCCAGUUCAGUAUUCAAUUCUUUUGCUGACAGCGUAAACAACAAUGCCUCAUCUGAACAUAAUGCAGAUAGUACCUGGCAAUGUGGAUCUUCAAAUAAUCCUGUCAAGGAACAUUUUCCCAUUACUUGUGGAGUAAUGUUGGGAAAUGGUUCAUUCUGCAGAAGGCAACCCAUUCAGGGAAACAAAAGAUGUUGGCAGCAUAAAGGCAAGAGGGUUGAAUGU